rnacentral:tRNA from 1 species
GGGGUUGUGGCUCAGUGGCAGAGUACUUGUGUUGCACAUGUGAGGCACUAGGUUCGAUCCUUAGCACCACA